rfam:Larimichthys crocea isolate SSNF unplaced genomic scaffold scaffold120, whole genome shotgun sequence.
UCUGAAACUCGGUGUGGAUACAGAGAAGCUGAGUUUUCAGA